rnacentral:lncRNA from 1 species
CCGAGCCUUACACUAACUAAGUAUCGUUGAGUCUAACGUGACUAUUUGUUUUAUUUAGAGUCCGAUCCCAUCAACAUCAAGCGCAUCACUAGGAAGUAGUGUAAACCACCACAAUCGCACGAAAAUCUACUAAAUCUUUACAUGACACCAUGAUGAGCAAAUAAAUAUACUGGAGCUAGGCAUAAACAUGGUCUGUGUCUUGUUGUCAUAGAUGGUGUUUACAAGUAGGCUACAACUUCUACUGUGGAGGCUUAGUUGAUUUUUCAUGCAUGGCUUGAAGUCUAAACUGGAUAAAAGGGCGUAUUAACUAAUCCUGUUGCUGCUGCUGCUGAUGAGAACCUUGACACCAGCUUUAGUAGUACAGAGCCUGUAAACCCAUUGGAUGAAAGCGUUCAGCCUGGAAUAAGCUGAAGCUCAACAUCAUCUGACUUUGAAACAAGCCAGGACAGCCAAAGGUCAUCAGGCUGCUGAUUAUCCUGCACACCUGUCACCAUCGUCUUGCACACCUGCGCCUCAUGACACUCACCUGGACUCCAUCACCUCCUUGAUUAUCUUCCCUAUAUCUGUCACUCCCCUUGGUUCUUUCCUCAGGUGUUAUUGACUCUGUUUUCAUGUCGGUGCGUU